rnacentral:tRNA from 1 species
ACUUAAAUAGCUUAUAUAUUAGAGCGUAAUAUUGAAGAUAUUAAAGAAAUUAAUUAAUUUUUAAGUA